rnacentral:rRNA from 1 species
CGGGACGGGUGAGUAAUGUCUGGGAAACUGCCCGAUGGAGGGGGAUAACUACUGGAAACGGUAGCUAAUACCGCAUAACGUCGCAAGACCAAAGAGGGGGACCUUCGGGCCUCUUGCCAUCGGAUGUGCCCAGAUGGGAUUAGCUAGUAGGUGGGGUAACGGCUCACCUAGGCGAUGAUCCCUAGCUGGUCUGAGAGGAUGACCAGCCACACUGGAACUGAGACACGGUCCAG